CUACCCAAGACUCAUGCUACUGUACUGCA
rnacentral:piRNA from 1 species